rnacentral:rRNA from 1 species
GAUGAACGCUGGCGGCGUGCCUAAUACAUGCAAGUCGAGCGAACGGACGAGAAGCUUGCUUCUCUGAUGUUAGCGGCGGACGGGUGAGUAACACGUGGAUAACCUACCUAUAAGACUGGGAUAACUUCGGGAAACCGGAGCUAAUACCGGAUAAUAUUUUGAACCGCAUGGUUCAAAAGUGAAAGACGGUCUUGCUGUCACUUAUAGAUGGAUCCGCGCUGCAUUAGCUAGUUGGUAAGGUAACGGCUUACCAAGGCAACGAUGCAUAGCCGACCUGAGAGGGUGAUCGGCCACACUGGAACUGAGACACGGUCCAGACUCCUACGGGAGGCAGCAGUAGGGAAUCUUCCGCAAUGGGCGAAGGCCUGACGGAGCAACGCCGCGUGAGUGAUGAAGGUCUUCGGAUCGUAAAACGCUGUUAUUAGGGAAGAACAUAUGUGUAAGUAACUGUGCACAUCUUGACGGUACCUAAUCAGAAAGCCACGGCUAACUACGU